AUGGAACAGCAUGCCAGCAUGACUACCUCAUCGCCAUCGAGCCUCCUGGUGAGAGGAUGCCGAGCAUCGACGAACAACGAGCAGCAGCAUCACCACCACUGUGAGCAGAUCGGUGAUGGAGAUCUACGCAUUAAGGCAGUGAGGAGUCAAGCGGCUCGGCGGCAAAGCCCAGACACACACCUUCCACAAGCACGCCAGUGGUCAAGAGCUCCAACUCAUCUUUGCCGUCUUCCUCGGAGGUAUCAGCGAUCCAUCUACUUGUUUUUUUUAAACAAGAUUUUUGUUCUUUUCUCAAUCUUUCGAUAUGCAUCUGAUUUCGUGUGUGAUAGUGGUUUUUAUGUGAUGGAUUUUUCACCCAGCACACUUAGGCCUUGUUCGGUUGCACAGGGUUUGAGGGGGAUUAAAGGGGAUUGUGAGGGAUUACAUCCCCUCUUUCGGCAAAUGACUGCUCUUGUUUUGCCCCUCUCCAUAAACAGGAAAACGGAUUGA
rnacentral:rRNA from 1 species